AAAUAUAUAAAGAGUAAAUAUACUGCGGUACAGGUAGUUGUGUACACUAACAUGACGAGAUUCUGACUGGUGCCAGGCAUAUCGCAGACAUUGCAAUGCGUCAGAAGUCACAGAUGUACUGUUUGAAGGCAACGGUGGAACAAGCGGGGGUGGCAGCUUCGGUAAAGGCGGCAGCGACGGAAUUUCGGUACUCGUCGACGUGGCAAUAAACAUUUGCGGACUUGACUCCGAUGCUGCAUCCCCCUCUGGUCGUGGAAUUGGUUUUAUCUGUUGAAUAAGAUAUAAGAAGUGUGUACUUAUAAAGACAUCGCGAUGUGCAGCUGAACUAAAAUGGCAACAUACUUUUAUGGUGA